GAUCUGGUGGUGCAUGGAGCACACCCACUCACCAUACCUGACAAACACAUCCAUAGGUUUGUGUGGGAGGUCCCCGUUCGAUUCGGGGUCAGGUCA